rnacentral:rRNA from 1 species
UACGGAGGGUGCAAGCGUUGCUCGGAAUCAUUGGGCGUAAAGCGCACGUAGGUGGCUUGUUAAGUCGGGUGUGAAAUCCCUGGGCUCAACCCAGGAAGUGCACUCGAAACUGGCGAGCUUGAGUACUGAAGAGGGUCGCGGAAUUCCCGGUGUAGUGGUGGAAUGCGUAGAUAUCGGGAGGAACACCAGUGGCGAAGGCGGUUGCCUGGAGCGUUGCUGACGCUGAUGCGCGAAAGCGUGGGGAGCGAGCCGG